rnacentral:lncRNA from 1 species
CCAAAUCUAUGUCUGUCAGCUCAAAUGGAGCCACUUGUGUGUGCAGACUAGACAAUCUAUUCUGCAGAGCAGGCUGGAAGUCGUACGUCCAUGAUGUACUGCUGAGGGCAUGGUGGAAGUCAGUGCGAGAGAGACACAAAAAUACUUCCUGAAUAGAGAGGCGCCAAUUUUUGCGAGUGCACUCAGCGAGACAGGUCCACAUCUUGUGGACCUUUAUCCCACAUCCACCUUGAAUCCAUGGGCACCAGUAUUCCACGGGUAAAAUGUGGCAUCUGUCGGUGUAAAAUGGAUUUUGGAUUCUCCACCCACACUGAAGCAGAGAGGAUGUGGAUGAAUCUGUCAUGAGGGAUUUUUGCCACAUUCUCUAGUGCGCACGUGAAAGGGAAGUACUGACAAAGGAUGUUAAUCCUGAACACAUAACGGAAAUGAUUUCCAGUUGAUAGUCCUGAGAGUCCAGAUGGACUAGGUCGGGGUUCAAGAUCUUAGCUUUGUGCAAGAUCUGCACAGAUAACUGUCAUGAAGUGAGAUGUUGUGAGGCAUUUUCCAGUAACUUUAUUGUAUAAUAUGCAGGAAUUUACAAUCGCAAUUAGUAUAAUGUGGAAUGCCAACUUUCUCCACCACUUCACCGUGUCGACGCUACUGAGACCGCCUGGGAAAAAACCGCCGCUCACAAAACCCGACAAAUAAAAAGGGAAGCACACCCUUCCACAGCAUGCCCGCACCAUCUAGUGACCAAUAUUCGAACUACAGUCCAUGCAGCACCUCCAGAAAAGUGGGAGCCAUAAGAACACACAAAGGAAGGAAGGGCAAGAACGAGAACAUGAGCUUGUAAAAUUAUGGGCGCCGGACUUUCGGGUCCCAUAUUUUUACGGGCGUCGGCACCUAAGUGUUAAUGAGUUGAGCUCAUGCCUUCAAAAGUUUGUCAGGAUAACAAUGUGUAGGUACAUGGUGAAAGAUGUCCUGGAUGUGGUAAAGUUAGACUUUAUUAAAGAACAAAAAAAUAAAGCGGCGAUCAUAACAGAAGCAAGGACUGACUAUGUGUGUGAUCAAAGCUGUGGUCAGUAAGGAGCAUACAAAUGAACAAAAAACAUCAUUCAAUUUUCUUUGUACCUUCUUUGUUUCACUCUCUCAUAUGCAGGACUGCUUCAAUGUGUUGC